AUUGAACGCUGGCGGCAUGCCUUACACAUGCAAGUCGAACGGUAACAGGUCUUCGGAUGCUGACGAGUGGCGCACGGGUGAGUAAUACAUCGGAACGUGCCCGAUCGUGGGGGAUAACGAAGCGAAAGCUUUGCUAAUACCGCAUACGAUCUACGGAUGAAAGCGGGGGAUCUUCGGACCUCGCGCGGACGGAGCGGCCGAUGGCAGAUUAGGUAGUUGGUGGGAUAAAAGCUUACCAAGCCGACGAUCUGUAGCUGGUCUGAGAGGAUGAUCAGCCACACUGGGACUGAGACACGGCCCAGACUCCUACGGGAGGCAGCAGUGGGGAAUUUUGGACAAAGGGCGCAAGCCUGAUCCAGCCAUGCCGCGUGCAGGAUGAAGGCCUUCGGGUUGUAAACUGCUUUUGUACGGAACGAAAAGGUGCCUUCUAAUAAAGGGCGCUCAUGACGGUACCGUAAGAAUAAGCACCGGCUAACUACGUG
rnacentral:rRNA from 1 species